ACCGAGUUAGCAAAACUCCAUCAAACCCUGUGAACGUUACACACUAUAACGUUGCCUCGGCGCGACCGCUCCCGGGUAACACGGGGCCGCCCCGCCAGGAGGGCCGUCUACAACUCUUAUUCUAUAACAUGUUACAUUCUGAGUACUAUACUAAAUAAGUAA
rnacentral:misc_RNA from 1 species